rnacentral:rRNA from 1 species
GAUGAACGCUAGCUACAGGCUUAACACAUGCAAGUCGAGGGGAAACGACAUCGAAAGCUUGCUUUUGAUGGGCGUCGACCGGCGCACGGGUGAGUAACGCGUAUCCAACCUGCCCAUCACUUGGGAAUAACCUUGCGAAAGUAAGACUAAUACCCAAUGACAUCCCACGAAGACAUCUGAAUGGGAUUAAAGAUUUAUCGGUGAUGGAUGGGGAUGCGUCUGAUUAGCUUGUUGGCGGGGUAACGGCCCACCAAGGCAACGAUCAGUAGGGGUUCUGAGGGGAAGGUCCCCCACAUUGGAACUGAGACACGGUCCAAACUCCUACGGGAGGCAGCAGUGAGGAAUAUUGGUCAAUGGGCGAGAGCCUGAACCAGCCAAGUAGCGUGCAGGAUGACGGCCCUAUGGGUUGUAAACUGCUUUUAUAAGGGAAUAAAGUGGGUCUCGUGAGACUUUUUGCAUGUACCUUAUGAAUAAGGACCGGCUAAUUCCGU